AGUUACCCAAAAAACCCUAUGAGCGAGAUCUAAGUGACGAUGUGCAAAUGCGCUUUGAACACUUAGUUCUCGCUGACCCUCAAUUCCAUAGCAACAAGGAGAUAAUGUUGGAAAUUGGAGCGGAUAUCUACCCCCAAAUCAUCAGAAACGGACUAUUCAAACCCGACAAUGGUACAGUGGUAGCGCAGAAUACAGCAUUUGGCUGGACCCUUACUGGCACCAUCUAAACCUAAAUUCUGCAAGGUGGCCGGGAUGUUUAAUCCAAACAAAUACUCCUCUGCAUUACUCCCACAAAUUGCAGAAAGUAAUAGAGGCGUAAUGCAGAGGAAUAUCAACCGCCCCAACUUCACGCAACAGGCGAAGAAGGAGA